UACGUAGGGGGCAAGCGUUGUCCGGAAUCAUUGGGCGUAAAGAGCGUGUAGGCGGCUCGGUAAGUCCGCUCUGAAAGCCCGGGGCUCAACCCCGGGAGGCGGGCGGAUACUGUCGGGCUAGAGUACGGAAGAGGCGAGUGGAAUUCCUGGUGUAGCGGUGGAAUGCGCAGAUAUCAGGAGGAACACCAAUAGCGAAGGCAGCUCGCUGGGACGUUACUGACACUGAGGCGCGAAAGCGUGGGGAGCGAACAGG
rnacentral:rRNA from 1 species